rnacentral:rRNA from 1 species
UGGGGAAUUUUGGACAAUGGGGGCAACCCUGAUCCAGCCAUCCCGCGUGUGCGAUGAAGGCCUUCGGGUUGUAAAGCACUUUUGGCAGGGAAGAAACAGCCUGGGAUAAUACCCCGGGCGACUGACGGUACCUGCAGAAUAAGCACCGGCUAACUACGUGCCAGCAGCCGCGGUAAUACGUAGGGUGCAAGCGUUAAUCGGAAUACUGGGCGUAAAGCGUGCGCAGGCGGUUCGGAAAGAAAGGUGUGAAAUCCCAGGGCUUAACCUUGGAACUNCACUUUUAACUACCGAGCUAGAGUACGUCAGAGGGGGGUAGAAUUCCACGUGUAGCAGUGAAAUGCGUAGAGAUGUGGAGGAAUACCGAUGGCGAAGGCAGCCCCCUGGGAUGAUACUGACGCUCAUGCACGAAAAGCGUGGGGAGCAAACAGGAUUAGAUACCCUGGUAGUCCACGCCCUAAACGAUG